GAUGAACGCUAGCUACAGGCUUAACACAUGCAAGUCGAGGGGUAACGAGAGGGAAGCUUGCUUUCCUUGUCGACGACCGGCGCACGGGUGAGUAACGCGUCUCCAACCUGCCCACACCUCAGGCAUAACCUUCCGAAGAUAGAACUCAUACCCUAUAAUUUCCUCCGUUUACAGCCGACGAGGAAUAAAGAUUUAUCGGUGGUUGUUGGGGAUGCGUCUGAGUAGCUGGUUGGCGGGGUAACGGCCCACCAAGGCAACGAUCAGUAGGGGUUCUGAGAGGAAGGUCCCCCACAUUGGAACUGAGACACGGUCCAAACUCCUACGGGAGGCAGCAGUGAGGAAUAUUGGUCAAUGGGCGGAAGCCUGAACCAGCCAAGUAGCGUGCAGGAUGACGGCCCUAUGGGUUGUAAACUGCUUUUAUACAGGAAUAAAGUUAGCCACGUGUGGUUAUUUGUAGGUACUGUAUGAAUAAGGACCGGCUAAUUCCGUGCCAGCAGCCGCAGUAA
rnacentral:rRNA from 1 species